CACCACGUAUCCGAGGUCGCGGACGGCACGCUCGACGCGCGUGCGGGUGGUGGCGGCGACCGGAUAGUUCCCGUUCAGGGUGCGGGAGACGGUGGC
rnacentral:tRNA from 1 species